rnacentral:rRNA from 1 species
AAACUCAAAGGAAUUGACGGGGCCCGCACAAGCGGUGGAGCAUGUGGUUUAAUUCGACGCAACGCGAAGAACCUUACCUGGGUUUGACAUCCUCUGACCGCCCUGGAAACAGGGUUUAUCCGACUUGUCGGAACAGAGUGACAGGUGCUGCAUGGCUGUCGUCAGCUCGUGUCGUGAGAUGUUGGGUUAAGUCCCGCAACGAGCGCAACCCUUGUCUUUAGUUGCCAUCAUUUAGUUGGGCACUCUAAAGAGACUGCCGGUGUCAAACCGGAGGAAGGUGGGGAUGACGUCAAGUCCUCAUGGCCUUUAUGACCAGGGCUACACACGUACUACAAUGGCCGGUACAAAGGGCAGCCACUUAGCGAUAAGGAGCCAAUCCCGUAAAGCCGGUCUCAGUCCGGAUUGGAGUCUGCAACUCGACUCCAUGAAGUUGGAAUCGCUAGUAAUCGCAGAUCAGCACGCUGCGGUGAAUACGUUCCCGGGCCUU